ACAGCACAUUAGCUUUACCAAAGGACAAGCCUUUCCUGAAAAGAUCAAUAAAGACAAAUUGUUCUUGUUUAAAACAAAACAAAACAAAACAAAACAAAACAAAACAAAACUUUAUUUUCCUAGAAUCACAGAAUCCAUUUUUACACCAGUAAAAGCUGAAAGGAAGCUCUAACGUUGUGAAGUCUGUUGCUGUUCAUGGAACAUUUCAGAUCAUUGAGGAAAUAAUGAAUGGAAACCCUGAUGAGACCAAUGCAAGUUUUGUAGUUAAAGCCUAUGUUCUUGGCCACUAAAUAAAUGAAUAAAAUGACUAAGAGCAUAAGUGUAGAAAAGCAGACAAGUGUGGUAACAGGUAUCAUGGAUAUAUUGAUAUCAUAUUUUACAACUGAAGGUGUGGAUAUUUGCUUCUGACAUUACAAUAUUUGCUUUACAAUUAUGACACUUGCAGGAAAUGAGAAGAA
rnacentral:lncRNA from 1 species